rnacentral:sRNA from 1 species
GCUGGGUGUGGUAGCACUCACCUGUAAUCCCAGCUGCUCUGGAGGCUGAGGCAGGAGGAUCAUGAGUUGAAAACCAGCCUCAA